CCUACGGGGGGCAGCAGUGGGGAAUAUUGCACAAUGGGCGAAAGCCUGAUGCAGCAACGCCGCGUGAGCGAUGAAGGUCUUCGGGUCGUAAAGCUCUGUCAUAAGGGAAGAAUACUGACGGUACCUUAGGAGGAAGCCCCGGCUAACUACGUGCCAGCAGCCGCGGUAAUACGUAGGGGGCUAGCGUGAUCCGGAAUAGCUGGGCGUAAAGGGUGCGUAGGCGGCCCUUCAAGUCAGAGGUGAAAGGCUACGGCUCAACCGUAGUAAGGCUUUGAAAAUGUAGGGCUUGAGUGCAGGGGAGGAGGGGUGAGUACCCAGUGUAGCGGUGAAAUGCGUAGAUAUUGGUAGGAACACCAAUUGCGAAGGCGGCUCUCUGGACUGUAACUGACGCUGAGGCAAGAAAGUGUGGUGAGCGAACAGGAUUAGAUACCCCAGUAGUC
rnacentral:rRNA from 1 species